rnacentral:rRNA from 1 species
GAUCCUGGCUUAGGAUGAACGCUGGCGGCGUGCCUAAUACAUGCAAGUCGAACGAGAGUGCUUGCACUCUAGUGGCGAACGGGUGAGUAACACGUAGGUAACCUGCCUUACAGUUGGGAUACCCUGGCGAAAGCUAGGCUAAUACCGAAUAAUUGGAUUGGAGGCAUCUCCGAUCUCUAAAAGGGGCCUUUAAAGCCUCGCUGAAUGAUGGACCUGCGGCGCAUUAGCUAGUUGGUGAGAUAACAGCCCACCAAGGCGAGGAUGCGUAGCCGACCUGAGAGGGUGAACGGCCACACUGGAACUGAGACACGGUCCAGACUCCUACGGGAGGCAGCAGUAGGGAGUUUUCGGCAAUGGGGGCAACCCUGACCGAGCAACGCCGCGUGAAAUGAUGAAGGUCUUCGGCUCGUAAAGUUCUUUUGCAGUUGACGAAUGUACUAUUGGAUAGUAAGAGACGGUAAACUGCGAAUAAGCCACGGCUAACUACGUGCCAGCCGCAGC